AGAAUAAAUCACAGCUGUUAAAUCGGUCGUCAUCUUGAACAGUAAUGCCAACUUAAAGUAAAGAAAAAGAAAAGAAACACCCGUUACCUACCUAAUUGGUGGUGGUAAUAAAAUUCGAGCUACCGAUCAGUUGAUAUCCAAAAUGAAAGCCUCAAUAUUAGUAAAAUAGUAGUAUCAUUAGUGUGGCGAAGUACUGAAAAGGGAUAGGUAUUAUGGAUAAAGUGGAAGUGGGAGAGCAUAUAGCAUAUUAGCAGAUGAAACAGCAGACAUUUGACUUUUGAGGAUAAGAACAAGAAGAAACUAUUGGAAUUAUAUUCUAAUUAUAUUUCGAUGCAAAGUGUUACAGAGUACAAGAAGAUUUUGUUGGUUUUGUCGAAUCAGGACUAAGCUUCGUUUUCCUAUUGUGGGUCACAUAAACUGACCCUGGUUAUUAACGAUCUCAAUGCUCUAUCUGAUAUCCGGAUCAAACAAAAAUUUUUCAAAUGAUCAAAAGUCACCGUGAUGAUGCAGAAAAAGUAGCUGAGGAAUUAAUGACAGAUGCCUUUACAAACGCCGAAAAGCCCGGACUGUCGAAGGACAAAUUCAACCAACCAACCAGCCACUAGCCCAUUUGAGUACUGAAGAAGGUCUAUAAUUAUUCCUUACUUGGAUUCCAUCAUCAGAAGAUUUCCUGAAGAAAACACGCCAGACAUUAAGCAUACUACACCCUGCUCAAAUGAAGACAAUUCAUUCCAUUUCCAAUGUUUGGGACACUUUUUCCAAGUUUUAUUAUUUAAACAUCAGAAAUGAACUCGAAUUGUGGCGAAGGAUAUGGCAAGACAAACCUGAACUAAAUUUCAAGGCGCUGACCGUAAUUUUUUUUAAGAAACACGGGGCCUUUUUCCUGAGACGGAAAAAGCUUUGGAAAUUUCGAUCACUAUACUUGCACUGUAUUCAGUAGGAACAUAGGAAGUCGAAGAGGUAUCCGGGGUAAUCAUAGAAUUUUCAUGCAGGUAACCUACAAACUUCCGGUGUUUCAUGGUUAUUGGUUAACGACGGAAUGGCUUUGGGAAUUUGAUUAUGAAUUGCAAUUAUAGAUUCAAUAAAACACAGAACAAGGUUCAACUUAUUUAUUGUGCACAGCUUACUCAGUUGAGAUUCAACAAGUAAUUAAUUAAUGCUUAAGUUUCAAGUGGUUGGCUUGGCUUCAUUAGUCGAAUCCGAAUGUAAACAUUACAUAUCAACUCUAUGCUCCGUAGGAUGAUAAUUGGCCUCAAUACAUAGAGCCACUUGACCAGUUCAUUUAUUGAUCCAACAGAUUGCUCUGGAUACCUCCUCGCCUUUCUAUGAUCCUGAUGUAACAUUUGGCUUUUAGGUUGUGAGUAAAAGGUUGCUUGGAAUAUAGAAAAGGAAAGUAAACAUAUGGGCACGAUUCCUAAUACAAGAGAGAUGAAAGCUUAGUGCGGCCAAUCACAAUUGAGCUAGCCGAAUUGAAAACGUUGCCGGCUCUAUUUUCAAUACGAAGGAAUGAACUGAGGAGAAGAUUAAUAUUUUUCCGACCAUUCAGAUAAAUUGUCGAUGUGGCAACGUUCAUUCGGGUUAUCUGUCAUUUGGUUCUGGCUUGUACACCACCUCAGUUGGCUAAAUCUUAAUUAUUCCUUGAUUUAAUUGUUUUGUAUUUUCAUUUGUUACCAUUAUCAGUGAUAUUAGACAUGCCUAACAAGUGUUUUUGUGUGGUUUUACUUAUAUUGUGGGAGGUUAGUGGUUAGACUUCAUAGACUUCGAUCGAAUCAACUCGUACGAGAAAAAUGGUUGCGAGAAUUUCUUGGAACCGACCAUUCUUGGAAAAUAAAAUAUAUUAUCUUUGCUCGAAUCACUUUCCUGAAGAUUGCUUCCGAAUAAUGAACCUAAGACAGAGGCUUAUUCGGCUUAUUCCCCUUCUUCUUUUGCAAUCAAAUUGGAAAUACCUCUUACCUACUCAGAAGGGAAGUAUUGAAGAACAGGACUCAACUGAAUCUGAGUCUAAAACCCAAUCAUCAUAAAAGAAAACAUGAGAUUUGACCCUUCAACUACUUUAAGGUGUCCUUCAAAAUGUGCAUCCUCUACCUCUUGUCGACUUGUUUGGUAGUGACAUUUAGAACCUAAGAAAGAGGCUCAUCCAAGGAGGUUUGUCUUCGGCAAUUAAAUUGAAAAUGCCUCUGUUUUCUUCCUAAUUUGUCAUAUUUAUUAUAAUUCCUUGCAAUGAAAAUCUUCCUCAGAAUAUUACCAUAUAACA